UUUUAACUACUCCUAACAAACUAACCCUGAGAAUUGAGAUCCUCGAGAAAACAGACAUGGGCACUCAAAGAUUGACUUUGGCAGUGAUCAUCAAAAAUCCAUUAAACGACGCCGAAUUCAUACUCACGAAGCAAACCCUACCUCCCAAAUUCCAUGACUCCGAGUAUGAUUCAUAUCAAGAUUCCGAUCUUUGGGACUUGCCCUAUGCACAAUUAUCACUUGUUGAUCGCUCCUUGACUGCUAGUCAACCUCAAUCUGAAGUUGAGGAUAAUUCUUCCGCGGAAUUUUUGAAUCAGUUUGAUGUUGCUUCCGCUGUUGAUCAGGCGCUCAAACAAGUGGGAUAUGAUAAGACCACAAACGUAAAGUGGAACCUCUUCAAGGUUAUAGAGGAGCCUGAAUUUGGACCGGGGCCUCCAGUCAAGACUCUGUAUAUUGCCGGAGGAUCAGAAAUUAAUGAUUGGAAGUUAGGAGAUUGCUCAAAGUGGAUGAGCACCCAAAGUUGUGCAGAUCAGCUUCUGGAAGUGAAACCUCAUAACGAUCGUAUAGGGCCAUUAGUUGUUGUCGGUCUUCUGAAUGAUUCACUUCAAACUAGGAACUUGCAUACUCCUUCCACCUUGAGAUGUCAGGAAUACCCUCCUGGCGUUAAUAUUGUUCCCAUGAAAAGCAGAACAGCAAAGCCUUACCACACUACAAACUUGAUUGUCUUUGUGCCUGGUACAAGUGAUGAUGACUUUGGUGGAGGUGAUUUUCUUGCACGAGGAGAUGCUCUCAUUGUAGAUCCUGGAUGCAGCUCCAUUAUGCACAAAGAGCUGGAGCAAAUUGUUACUGCACUCCCACGAAAAUUGUUUGUGUUUGUCACCCACCACCAUCACGAUCAUGUGGAUGGUCUCUCGGUUGUCCAGAAGUCCAAUCCCGAAGCUACUCUUUUGGCCCAUGAGAACACAGCUAGAAGAAUUGGUAAAGGUGAUUGGUCUCUGGGACAUAUUCCAGUAGUGGGAUCUGAAGAAAUCUGUAUUGGUGGUCAACGCUUGAGAUUCAUAUCUGCUCCGGGUCAUACGGACGGCCAUGUUGCAUUACUUCAUGUUGCUACUAACUCGUUGAUAGUCGGGGAUCAUUGUGUAGGCCAAGGAAGUGCACUCUUGGAUAUUUCGGCUGGUGGGAAUAUGAGUGAUUACUUUGACACGACAUACAAGUUUAUGGAGUUGUCUCCGCACGUUUUAAUACCAAUGCAUGGUAGAGUUAACAUGUGGCCGAAGCAUAUGCUCUGUGGGUAUCUCAAAAACCGCAGAAUGAGAGAAUCUAGCAUCUUAAAGGCUAUAGAAGAAGGAGCGAAAACAUUGUUUGACAUUGUAAAACAUACAUAUCGUGAAGUUGACCGCAGUCUAUGGAUCCAUGCUGCAUCAAACGCGAGACUCCAUGUUGAUCAUCUAGCCCUGCAUAAUAAAUUGCCACAGGACUUUUCCCUAGAAUAUUACAGAGGCAGUGUAGCUGAAUUUGCAGCAAGUAUGGAUAAAAUAUGAGCACGGCGAAAGCUACUUGUUUAAGACCUUGCCGACCUUAUAUACUCUUAGGCCCUCGACUCGUGCACUCAAGAUCCUCUAUUCCAAGAACAAAUUCAUUCUCAAAACAACCCUCAUUAAUUCCCUCCAAAAAAAUCAUGGUUGUAAAUGAA